UCGAUAAGAUUACCGCCCUAGUUCUAACCCUAAACGAUGCCAACCAUCAAUCCGCGCGUAGCACCCUUUCUAACGGGCUCGGCGGGCAGCUCCUUACUCACGGGAAACCAGAGUCUCUGGGUUCCGGGGGGAGUCUGGUUGCAAAGCUGAAACUUAAAGGAAUUGACGGAAAGGCACCACCAGGCGUGGAGCCUGCGGCUUAAUUUGACUCAACACGGGCCAUCUCACCAGGCCAGCACUCUAGAAUGAUUGACAGAUUGAGAGCUCUUUCUCGAUUUAGUGGAUGGUGGUGCAUGGCCGUUCUUAGUUGGUGGAGUGAUCUGUCUGGUUAAUUCCGAUAACGAACGAGACAUAAUUCCGAAUAACGAACGAGACUCUCCCCUGCUAACUAGUCGGUUGGAUCUUGAUUACUCGUGCGUCCUUGUGGCGUGCGGAAUCGCUGUCUGAGUUGUACUCUGGGUUCACUUGUGGUGCGUGUCGAAGCGCUCCUGGGUUUGCGUUUGUGAGUGUGGCUUCGGCUGCGCGAGCGCGUGGGCUCACGGUUGUGCGACGACCUCCGUGUCAUGAGCCCUGGAUGUUACACUCCAAGUCCGCCGCUUAUGCUUAAAACUCUUCUUAGAGGGAUUCACGGUACUGAAGUCGUAAGAGACUGAGAGCAAUAACAGGUCUGUGAUGCCCUUAGAUGUUCUGGGCCGCACGCGCGCUACAAUGCCGGGCACAGCAGGUUCUUUUCCUACUCCGACAGGAGCGGGUAACCCUGUGAAAGCCCCUGUUUUAUACUGUUUUAUGUGUCGAGCAUGCAUACUUUUGUGUGUUGUGUUCGAUGCUACUGGCGUGAUUGGGCCUGGGUCUUGCAAUUUUUUCCCACUAACGAGGAAUGCCUUGUAGCGGCGGGUCACUGAGCCCGCCGUGACUCAGUCCCUGCCUUUUGUAUCA
rnacentral:rRNA from 1 species